rnacentral:rRNA from 1 species
UACAGAGGUCUCAAGCGUUGUUCGGAUUCAUUGGGCGUAAAGGGUGCGUAGGUGGCGCCGUAAGUCAGGUGUGAAAUUUCGGAGCUUAACUUCGAAACUGCAUUUGAUACUGCGGUGCUUGAGGACUGGAGAGGAGACUGGAAUUCACGGUGUAGCAGUGAAAUGCGUAGAUAUCGUGAGGAAGACCAGUGGCGAAGGCGGGUCUCUGGGCCGAUACUGACGCUGAGGCGCGAAAGCGUGGGGAGCAAACAGG